rnacentral:miRNA from 10 species
CUGCUGCAAUGAUGCCAGCUGCAGUGGGGAAGGAGCAGCUAGGGCUGCUUGCUCUACUGAGCUGGUGGGAGCCAGGAACAGG